rnacentral:lncRNA from 1 species
UCAACAAUUGCCUUGUUGUUCAUGCCACCAGCACAAUUCAACAGAACAAGCCCUCGAACAAGGGUUUGACUGGAUUCUUAUGGUAGAAAAUAUAGCAGGUUUAUCGUAAACCAUAGAUACCAAAAAGGAUAAUUAGGGACAAGUGUUUCUUUGCAAGCAAGUUGAAGAAUAUCUGAUGUCCAAGGGGAAGUUAAAAUAAAUAUACCUGAGGCAGCGAUAACACAAGCUAGGCUUCCAACAGAAUUACCUAUAAGCACAGUUGGCUUCUGAACAACUUCAUCCAAGAAAUCCAAUAUUAGCUGUAUCAGUGAAUCUCACUCAAGUUAGCAAGGAAAAUAACUAAAGGUCAAGUGAUUGAUGACGUAAGUACAUAGAAAGAUCCAACUUCUGGGUAGGGAACAUUGCACACCUGAGCCCAUGCCUCCAUGGUAUAUGAAUAACCAGCUGGCUUAUCUGAAGCACCAAAUCCAAGGUGGUCAAUUGCAUAAACCGUGUAGCUCUUCGCCAGGGUGCCGAUAUUCCUGAAAUUACCUCAGAGAUAACAAGAAAAAUAUCAAUUCCUCACAUUAUUUAAUAGGAUAAAGGAGUAGUGAACACACAAAUUUUCAUUCCCCUCUUCUACGGAGCGGUAAAAUGAAUACUUUUUCACUAGAUUAAGAAUUGGAAAAUGGAAGAAGCCUAUACCCAUAAAAGGGUAAUAUUAAAUGGAACCCUGAAAUUCAGAUCACUGGUUUGUCAUCAUCUAGGUGCAAGGAAUAGAACUAAGUGUUAAUGCCAAUGCACCAUGAAAUAAUGAAUAGACUUUACUUUCAUUAUUCUUUUGCUUCAUUGAUCUUAAUUAAUUAUUAGAAGUAUAACACAUAUAAAUGCAUCCCUGGAGUUCAUAAUACAUAACAGAGUCAGAGAUAUUACAUACAUAAGGUAAAGACAUGCUCCAUACAAAAAAAAAAUAUUACAGUCGAAAAUACCCAGAACAUAAUUUGAAUUGAAUUCACAAUAAAGGAGCUACAUUUUUGUGCACCCAAUAAUCAACCCGCUAGACAAUUCACAACAAGAAAGAGCAAUCUUAUCUCGCUAACCUGCGCCAGUGAGGAAUGGAGACACCAAAGCCAUGGACAAGGAGUAGAGGAGGAGAAUCGGGAUGUGAAUUUGGAGUUGAAGAAACCAAGUAAUUGAUGGAGUACUGACCCUUCCAUUUCCACAUUUUGCAACUCUCCCUUAUCUCAUUAACCUCCAGUUCCAGUGCAGCAGAAGCAGAAUCCCCUCCACUGCUACUGUUAGUAUAACUGAUGGUAACAUUUUGUCUCUUCUUCUUCUCCUUAUUCCUCUGCUGCAACUCCAACUGCAACUGAAACUGCCAACUCUUAUUGCUCAAUAGGGGCAAGCGCAGGCCUUUUACAUCUCCAUUUCCAUUUCCAAUCCUGAGCGUUGUUAUUGGAAUAAUGAAAGAGGGAGCCCGAGCCCUUACCAUCCACACGCUCAUUCUUUUCUUGCUUUUUCGAUUGAAUAUUUUCUGUGGCCUGGCUUGGCCUGCUCCUCCCCUGCUUCCACCUCUAUGAGACUGUGGCUAUGACAAAAACUUUUUAUGUACUUAUUUAUUUAUUGGGCUUAUUCCACUAUUUUAUGAAAAUUUUACUGAUAUUCCUCAAAAAUCAAAAUGAUAAUACUUCGUCUAAAAAAUAAUUAUAAAACAUACAUGCUAUGUUUUAAAAUUUUCAAACAAAGAAGAACUUUGUAGAGUUAAUUAACUCGAUUUAUUUUAGUUUACUUUCAUGUGAUUUAGAUUAUUUUAUUAUAUUUAGCUACAAAGAUUGUUUUGUCAUAAGUUUAAAUUGAUUAUUUUACCCUUAUAAGGUAAAACUAUUGAGAAUUUACUUUAAUUUCAAUAUUUUUCUAAUUUUAUACCAAACUCAUUGUUUCUAAUACUAUUUUACUAGUAUGAGUUUUAAUCUUUAAUUAAACUAAAAUAGUAUCUUUAGGGCAUGAUACUCAUGUAACUUAUUGGGAUGUCAAUUUUAUGUUAUUUACACAUAAAAGUAGAGAAAAUAACAAUUAGAUUUUAUUUUAAAAUAUUAUAUUAUAAGCCACAAAAUUAGAUACAUAAAUUAUUAGAUACAAUAACUCAUGUUUAUUAUGGUAAUUUAGUCGCUAUAUAUCAUAAUAAUAAAAUACUAAAAUAAAUCUUGUAUUAAACUUUAUGAUUAAAGAUGGUCAAAUAACCGAAGAAGAAAAUCAAUAGAAGGAUUUUACUGAUUAACUAUACAAAAUUUUUAUUAAUUUGUAUUUUUAAAAAAAUAUUGUGAAUUCAUUACAAUUAAUUUCUAGAAGUAGGGUGGAUUUAUAAAAUAGUGGGGUGCAAAUACCCUUACCCAAAUAUUCCAUAAAAAGUGAAAACUAUUACCUUUUUCGAUGUACUUCUCUUGAAUUUUUUAUUCCUACGGAUAAACUUUAAUUCAUCCCCAAAUAAAAUGAUAAUCUCUAAUUUGCUCUCAAUGUAAAUCUCAAUUUAUUCUUCAUUUCCGUCCAAAAGAUGAGGGGCAAAUAAGGAAUGUGUUGAUGGGUUUUUUUUUUUUAAUCUUCUUAACAAUAAAUGGGGUAAAUUGAUAUUUUUAUACUUUUAGGUGAUAAAUUAAAGAUUUUCAUUCUGAAUUGGGGGCAAAUUAAAAUCUAUCUUAUUUCUAAAGGCACCACGUGAUUUGGCAAAAUAACUAAAAAGACAUUUUAUUUUUAGAAAAGGUCACACAUGUCUCUUUUGAGAUACACAAAUUCUCUUUUAGAUAAAACAUUAGGAUUUGUGUGAUUAUUUCUUAACCAAAAGGGUUUGUGUUUCAAAAAAAUGAUUAUGUAAUUAUUUUGCCUGACCGAGAGAGUCAUUAUUCAAACACCAAUCACAUUUUUGUUUUAACAAACACCCUUUCAUUUAUUCUUUAAGCUUUUUUUGUUUUUUCCCAAAAAAUGAUGAAUACAUAUUGAAAAUUUUGUUUUCAUUUUUUUAUUGAAAAAAUGAAAAACAACAAAGAUUACUGCUUCCUUGUCCAUACUUUUUCGUCCUAUAUUACCUUAAUUUUAUAUCGUUUUCUCUAUUUUUACUUUUAUAGUCCAAUUCUGAAAAUACACUAUUAGACACAUUUUUAAAUUCAAAAACACAAAACAUAGUGCAUCAUUUUCAUUAUAGGCAUUAACACCUGACGUACACAUUCUCCAAAUGGGAUUAAUGGAAAAAUAUAUAUAUAAAAAGGUGAGUCCUUCGGCCAAUCUUAUAGGUUCUAACGUUUUGAAGGUAAGUUUUAUCUUGUAACAUUCUCACAAAAUUUAAAAUCAACUGGGACGAAAAUUUUGAAAAUACUAUGAUUAGCACAGGCAUUUCAACAAUAGAGGAUGUAAUAAAAGCUCAUUGAGUUGAAACUUGAAAGCAAAAUUAGGAUCAAGGUCAUUUCUUUAAAAGAAUAAGGCAAGAUGCACGACAUGAAAUACCUGUGACCAAGCCUCAAAAGAUUCACCAAGCCCAGUAUUUUGCUUGCCCACGGCAUAAUUACACUUGGCUUCCCAAACAAAUAAUUGCUGGAGCUCGGACAAUGCAAGUAUUCAAUUUAACUUCAUAAAUAUCAGCAGGAGCAUAAUUACACUUGGCUCCCUAACAAAUAAUGCUGGAGCUCGGACAAUACGAGUAUUCAAUUUAACUGUACAUAGAUGUGCGGGGUUUUGGUGGUAAGUAAAAAGACGUGCCACUAUCAGUUGAGGAGUGCAUAAGAGGAUUACAUCUAUCAAAUACUAUCCGCCCCCCUCGGCCAAUUCUUCCACGAAAUUUGUGAGUUCGUGCUAUAGUGCCAUUCCUCGUAGAAGAAUCUGACGGCGGAACAAUACCUGCAGCGUCCAAUUUUUCUGGCACAAGGGGUUUUGUGAACAACAAAACUGGCUCGAGAGGAUCCUGAAACCCCACAGUUACAUUUUCAAAAUGAUGCACUGCUGAUAUUCAGAAAUAAAACAAGGAUAAAACAUUUUCUAAAGUUUACUUAAAUCAUUUUUCUUUCCAACCACAGAUAGGUCAAUAAGUCAAAUACUGGAGCUGACAGAGCGCUGGCAGAAUUAACUACAAACCCACCAGAUUUAUCUUGUUAAUUGAUUGUUUUCAAUUACCACGGUAACCCGGCUCGGGUGUUACCUCUGUUUCUGUCAGUGCUCUGUUGAAUAUUUCCGUUUAAAAAUCAGCAUCAUAUAUGUAAGUAGUAUGGCAGCAGCGAAAUAUCAUGUGUAAUAAUUAGGCUAUUAGGAGCAAAAGCUAUACGUACCAAUUUAUGUAGCCAUGCAUAAUAUAUUCAUUUUUGACUUGCAAAUUCUUCCUUUUCACAACAUUAGGUACAACUUUUCCUUUCCUUUUGAAGGCCCACUCCAGUAGGGGUGGGCAUUUGGUUCGGUUCAAUCUGAACCGAAUCGAACCGAACCGUAUUAUGAUAAUUUAAUUCGAUUUUGGUUCGCAGCAAAAAAAAUUAAAUGGUUCAGAAGCAUACAGAGUAGGGGUGGGCAUUUGGUUCGGUUCAGUCUGAACCGAACCGUAUUAUAAUAAUUUGGUUCGGUUUGGUUCGGAGCAAAAAACUAAAUGGUUCAGAAAUUCUGAACCAUUUGAUUUUUUAUUUGGUUCGGUUCAAAACCGAACCAAAUGGUUCAAGAAAAAAUUAAAAUUAAAAUUAAAAAAUAGUUCAGAAUUUAUCUUCUUUUUUUUAUUUCUGUUUGUUAGUUAAUACAUGAUAUUAUAUAUGUCAUUGCAUACACUUUAUUUUAUUGUUGAACUUUAUUAUUUUAAUUUAUUAUUGUUAAAUUUUAUUACAUUGGUUAUUAUUUAUGAAUUUCUAGAUUACUUUUGGAAUUUAUUAUGUUAAUUUACUAUUGUUAGAUUUUAUUAUGUUGUUUAUUGUUUGCUAAUUUAUAGACUCAAGAUUAUUGUUGUAUUAAUAGCGUAUUAUUAUAUUAUUAUUUUUAUUAAAUAAUGAAUAUAUAAGAUAAAAUCAAAUCAAACCGAACGGUUCUAUAAUUUGGCUCAUAAAUUCAUGAACCAUUUGAUUUCAGUUUGGUUCGGUUCAAGGGCUGAACCGAACCAAACUAAAUAGUUCCCACCCCUAAUAGAGAGUAAAAAGAGUUUCUUAUAAAUAAUUUGAGGAGGAUGGUUCUGCCACGACAGGUAAUACCAUAAACAAAUGAUUUCACCACAUUUCAAGAAAGCAUUUAACUUAUGCCUCAUUUUCAUUCUAGCAAUUUGCUUGCCAUUGGCUGAUUGGAAAAAGUGCAUUUAAGUGAUAGAAUACUGUCAACCUAUAGCACGAAUAGGGGUUAAACAAAGUAAAUCUCUACCUUUACAUGUCAAAUAAAAGACUUUCAUAAUAUCAAAUAUCAAAACUCAUGUCUAGUAAAGGAUUCCCCAAUGCUGGCUCUCAAAAUUGCUUUUGUUUCAUGGAUGAGAUGAUGGUUUUUGUGGAUAUUCUGCUCAACUUGGAUUAUGACUUGGGUCAGAUCCCAACUUGCUGCAAAGCUCACCUGACUAAAUCUUAGUUGAUUUGCUUUUCCAAACUAAAUCCAAGCAAGUAAGUACAAGAGAUAAAAGCAAAAGUUCAAGCAUCUCAUUUGAGCCUGUCACUAACAAAUGGUCAAUGAGCAAUGUCUAGCUAUGACUGAGCAACAGAAUCAAUAAACAGACAGACAAAAAAUAAUAAUCAAGUCAUCUGUCAAAUGCUAGUCCAAGAAAAUCAUAUAUAUAUGUAUGUAUGUAUGUAUGUAUGUAUGUAUGUAUGUAUGUAUAUGUAUAUGUAUAUGUAUAUGUAUAUGUAUGAUCAUUCAUUUCUCAAUCAACCACCAAAUUGAUGUCAACAAAGCCAUGAGGAUUGUCACACAAGUCUUUCAAUUCCCCUCUCUUUAGGCCAGAGACCAGUAAACCAUUUGAAAUAUAGAUGUGCAAACCAGUAAAUAAAUCAUGAAGUUACACACUAGUCUGCUUUCGCACUCAUUCAGAACUAUCAAUGAUACUUACUGCAAGUACGGUGUAUACAUUAUACUAAAGUGAAGGCUGGAUCAAUAAGAAAUUCAAAAUGUUUCAUCACAUUUGGGGCUUGAUGAUGCCAAAAAAAGACCAUACCAAUUAUGAUGAACAGUAAAAUGUGAACAAGAACAAGCAUACAUUUAAGAAAGCAGAGAAGCAUCAUUAAAAUAAAGUAUUCUUCUUACUAUUCUUGGAAAAUGGACCAAAAUAAAAAAGAAACCAUAUAUGGUUAACGUCACAACAAGAGUAUUUGUGCAUUUGUACAUCAUAGGAUAUUGGGAAGACAUCAGUAGAGAAGUGCAAAUUUUUUUUUGGGGAAAGGAACAGAGAAGUGCAAGUCAAAAAGGAGAAAAAAUGAAAAAAGAGAGAUCAAAAGGAAUGCAAUCUAAUUAAUUGUCUAAGGAGACUUCUAUGCUACAUUUAGCCAUUGGUUGAAUAGGCAGCUUGUUUUCUAGUACAACUUUAAAUUUUCCAAGAUUUAGAAUUUUCCUACUGAAGAAAACUAAUUUCUAAAGCAGCUAUUACCAUCUUCAUCCCAACGGUAAGCAGCUCCAUACUAAGGAAAGAAUGAAAUAAGUGUGUUUUACUUAUAGAAGCCCAUUCCUGUCCAGAGUGAUUAGUAAGUUGUUUCACCAUGACCCCCAUUAUGGUGACUGAAAAAAGAAAAAAAAAAAGAAGAAAAUAUUUGCCGAACACAAUAGUAGCACCUAAGAAGUCCUACUUAAGAGGCUUCAUACCCUGCACAAAUCGGAAAGUUUUUUAAAAUUUUCAUGUUUCAAAUGAAGAUUCUCCAUUAAAAAAUUACACACAUACUGUAUGUAAAGCAAUUAAAAAAAAAAAAAAAACAAGGAUAACCCAGAAACAAUCCAACCAUUAAUGAAAGUGAGCAAUGUUAUUGUUUUAUUAUUUUUGAACUCGUGGUGGCUCUGUAUUAUUUGCAAAUUAUUUACAAAAUACUCGUAUAAGGAGAGGGACAUAUUUUAUGCUGGAAUAUUGUCAAUAUAAAUGGUGCUCUAAAAAUGUGUCCGACUGUAAAGAUAUGUCUAAUUAAACAGUGUCAUAUAUAAUAAAAACGUAUCCUUUUAUUUAAAGAUGCUUUCAUUCAUGGUUUCAUGCUUCAAUUUGAAAUGACGAUAGUUUAUUUUGGACCAGUGAUGAUCUAAUUCAAAUUUUAAUUUAAUAACCAUGAAUGAAAUAACCACUUUCUGUUAGUUCUCUUAAAAUUUAUUAAGAAAUCUAUAUUGAAGGCCGUUUUAUCCUUUAGUGUUGUAGAAAAUACACUUUACAUUUUGAAAUUUAAAAUGACCUUCUUUUAAAUAAAAUUUUAAAACAAAUGCCUCUAACUAAGGAAGAAAUUUUAGAAUACAUCAGAAGUACCAUGUUAGCCAUACAACAAGUGAAUCAUGGUACGACACAUGUGCACUUAUUUUAAAAAACUAUUAUUCAAAUGGUGGUUAUAUUGAAUAUAAAUAUGUACAUAUCAUACAUGACACAAACCGCGUCAACCCUUCUAUUGGAUCUGGGGUGAAUCAUGCAAUUUUAUAUCUAAAGCUCAUGACAUAAACUUAAUUCAUGAAUAUAUAACACUAGCCUUGGCCUUUGCUAUAAACAUAUAAUAAUCUAUGUGCCUCAUUCAAAAAUUUAUUAAAAACUUACAUAGUUCAUAUCUCAUUGUACAUACAUUCACUUCGAAAAUAUACAUAUAAACAUAAACGUGGUCAAAAUGUAAGUCGUGCAGUAAUGCGUGUUGUGGUCCAACCUCAAUUGAUCAGAAAUUGAACUACACGAAAUCCUAUGGAAACCUUAGAGAAAUGGGGUAAAUAGGAAAAUAGUAAGUUUCUGACUCAAUGAAUGAAUAUAAUUAUAUAUAAAAAUAAAUUAGUGCUUUAGUGCUCGUCAUAAUUGUAUGACAUAACUUUACACUGAACGCUUUACAAAAGCAAACAUGAACUCAUAUAUACAUACAUGACAAAAUUGCACCAAAUAAUAUACAGGGGAAAUAACUCUCAAUACUCACUGUGAUCAUCAUCGCAUGAGUAAAAAGGGGGAAAAACCUCUCAAUACUCAGUAGAAUUAACAACAUCACAAGGGUCGAGUAAUUUAAUUCUCAAUAUGCAUGCGUAGAGCCUAUGGGAAAAGGUACACAUAUGGUGCCUGUCAAUUACAUCUCAUGACUCAGUCAAUCAUAUAAUGCACGUACAUAUAAUCAUAACAUUAUACAAAAUCGUACUAUUAAACAUAAAUGCUUUGUAAAAUACAUAAUAGUAAUAAUAAUAAUCCACUCACAGAUCCUAUUGAUGAAGCACGCACGUGCUUUGCUUUAAGCUAACAGCUUGCUAUUGCUUUGACAAUUAACCACAUGUGCCUCCUUUUAGCUUGCACGUGUGUCACAAUACAUGCAUUAGAAUUGGUUUUAUUCUCAUGGGUGAAGCAUGAAUGUGCUUUGCUUUAAGCUAACCGCUUGCUAUUGCUUUGACAAUUAGCCACAUGUGACCCGUUUAUAGUUUAGGAAAUAACAAUAUUGAAUCGAAAUAUUCACUACUAGAAAAAUGAGUUUUACUGACACUAAUUUAGCGUCAGUAAUUACUUUUAUUGACACUUGUUAAUUGUGUCAGUGUUGCUCAAGCCAGAACACACUGACACUAAUUUUUGGUGUCAGUAAUUUUUGUGUCAGUAAUUUGUUUCACUAUAGUAUCACUAAAAUAAUGACACGAUGAUGUUGGUAUUUAAUGAUACUAUUUACACGUCAGUGAUUUAUGUGACUAUAGUAUCAAUAAUAAGCUAGCUCGAUAAUAUAAAAAAUUAUUAAUGUCAAUUUAAAUAUUUAGUGUCAGUAUUUAAUAAUGUUAUGCAGGAUUGGUUAAUAAAUUUUUUUUAUUCUAAUUAUAUUUUUCCUGAAUGUUUUACAACCAAAAGAAAGCUCAAAAUAUAUUAAAUAUAUAAAAUGUCACAAUAUAAUUCACAUAAUAAACAUCCCAAAUACAUCACUCAAAUUCACAUGAUUCAACUACACCACUAUCUGGAAAAGAAAAAUAUAAAUACUAAAUUAAGUUUUCAACAACCACAAAGUACGAAUUUAGUUUCCACCAAAAAGAAGCACAAGAACAUCACUCAACAUCCAUCUGCAGCUUCAUUUUUUUCCCACCUACAACAACAUAAAAUCAAUUAGUAUGGAAAUAGAUUAUCGAAAACAAAUUGAUUGUGAGUAGUUAAACAGAGCAAUUGAAGGAUGUUUCAACAACUAAUAAAACAAUAAGAAAUAAGAUUACAAUAAUACUGAAAGUUAUAGAAAUAAAGAACCUUAGCUUAAGUUGUCUGAAGAAACCAUGUUGGAUAACCUGCUACAAGUCACAGAAAACAAAACAUCUAAGUCAAUCUAAUUAAAAACUUCCUAUUUUUUAUAAUCAAACAACAGAAAUCUGCAAUCAAAACAUCCAUUUGCCCACUCAAACUUUCAGCCUUAGCAUAAACUUCUUUCACUUUAAUCUCAUAAAACUUGUCAAAUUUAUGAAACUCUCAUCAAGCCUUCUAAAAAACUACCGCUCUCAUUCCCCUCCUUCCUCAACAAUCCUCAAAAGUAUUUUCAUUGCAAAAUAGCCCAAAAAAAUUAUAGGAGUUGUUUUGACUUUAGAAUAGCAACAAAACAGCCCCGGGAAAUCUGUAGGGGCUGUUGUGCAGUGAAAACAGUCACUAGAAAUUUACAGGGGCUGUCUUGUUGCUGUUCUAUAGUAGAAACAGCCCCUGCAAAUUAACACUUUCAAAUGAAUUAGAAAAGAAAAUAAUGUUACCUAUGAUAGUCAUCAUUGUUGAAGUCAUAGCAGAUAGCCUGCAAAUUAACAAUAAUAACAGCAUUUACAUCAGUUUAUGAAACUGCUUUUAUUGGUUUUUUUUUUGCAAGGAUAUGUAUAUAAAUAAUAGUGCAUUUAAACUUACAUAUAUAAUGCAUCUUAGACCAGCCAUUAAUGUGGUAUAGUUUUUGUAAAGUACCCUAUUUACCUCAGAAACUUCACUUUCCUCUAUGCCAAGAUUUUGAAUUAUCUAUUAUACACAAAGUAAAUUUGUAGAAACUAGUUAUACAUUUGUUAAACAAAUAAACAACUUAAAUGACAAAAGUUUACUAACUGAAUAGAAAUGCACCAAGGUCAUUAUAAAUUGGCACUACUUACUGAAAUGAUCAACAACAUUGACACUAACACCUCAUACAUAAAUUCAGAUUUUAAGCGUAUAAAGAGAGUUCAAAUGAAUGAUUGCUUAUACAUUUUAUAACAGAUUUUACAACAAUAAAGUAGAUAAAUGGCAACUCUACUAGAGGUAUGUUUCUAGUAUAAGGAAUCAAGCAUAAGUAAAGGAGCAAGGUAGUAUCUUAUCAUCCGCAUAAUCAACACACCAUGACAGAAAUCGAAUCAAAUAAAUACUACGAGUGCCGAAUGGAAGAAAGAAAUUAAAACAUUUUCUGUAAAAUAUUAUUAUUAAUCAAUAACAUGUCUUAAUAUAAAGCGAAAAGUUUCCGAUGAUAAUAUAAAUAUCCAAAACUAUAUAGUCAAAUACUCAAAAGCUGAAACCAAAAUAUCAGAAAAAAAUUUAUAAAAGCAAUAACAUAAACCUAAGCAGUAAACACAACAGACCCACCAGCUUUUUUAAUUUUCUUCUUGGCUGUUUUGGAAACGCUUCACCACAACGAGUUGGUUCUCAAGCAAAAGGCCCUUACCCAAAACCUUAAAGUAGCCAAACUGAGUCACAUCGAUCGUGGGAACAAUGUCUUUGGAAGCCUUGGCUUUGACCUCCUGAGGUACCAUUGGCCAAAGCCUUUUUUUUUUUUUUGAUCCAUGACAAUGAAAACUGAUCUUUUAUAUAUUCAAGCAAAUGAAGUGAAACCCCUGCUCAAAGAUACCAUAAAAACUAGAUGACAAUUUUGAACACUAGUGUCUAAAGCCCAGAGGCCUAUGUAUUUGAUAAAACAACUGACAGAACACUAAACACAUAAUGUUGAAAUUCAAAAGUUAAAAGGGUCAAACAGAGAAUUGAAACAUAAUAUGAUUCGCCCUUAAGAUAAAUUCUUGGCCCUCAAAUCACAUGCAGAAGCAAGCUACAUUGAAGAGAGAUUCGGAAGAAGCACUGAAAAUGCCAAAAGAUCGAAGUUGCCCUUCUUGAGAAAACCGACCUUAUGAUUACUAAGGCGAUUCAGGCAAGACAACUACUACACGAACCCUAAAAAUGGAGUUGCUUACCUUCUUCAGGGGAUGCGGGGCAAAUUAAAUUAUUACAGUAUUACUCACAACUCAAUUAAUUUGAGUAUUUGACUAAUCUAAUUUAGACAAAAAAUUAAUGAAAAAAUUAAAAAGUGGAAUCUCAACUCACUGUCUCAGGCGGCCGGCGCGAUGGCGACGGCUGAACGCGGCUGCAAAAGCAAUAAUUUAGACUGGAGGGUGAGAUGGUGACCAGAGACGGAGAAAGUGAGAGCGACUAAACGAGCGUGAAAGAGAGGGGUUGUUGCUGCUGUGUGUGCCUUCAGAGAGAGAGUGAAAGCGAGCGAGCUACUGCAGUGUGUGGUGCGACCUGCUGGGCUGCCGCCGCCGCCGCCGCCGCCGCGUGGGCUGCAUGUGCCGUUGUCAUCGUGUGUGCUACUAAGGCCUUAGAGAGGGGCUGCCGCUAGUUAGCGCUUAGGGAGAGUUAGGGAUUUAGGCACUUGGAAUUUUAGGGAUUUGGAUUUUAGUUUGUUUGAGAGGGAACAAAUUUUGGUGGAGGGAGAUCAAAAAUUUUGUGUUAAAUUAUAGCAAAGGGUUUGUAGUUAAUUAUAUACGGUUUAACCAAACAAAGAAAAUAUGCACACAAGUGGUUUGUAGUUUGAAAUUAAAAUUUUAACUUCGGAGAUAUUGAGUUCGAGUCCAAGUAAAAACAUAAUUAGAAUUAUAUUUGUUUUUAUCACUGAUACUAAAGUAUAAGUAAUUACUGAGUUUUAUGCUACUGACACCUUAGUACCAGUGAUUUAUGAUACAUAUUUGUUAAAUGGAAAAAAUGAUCCAAAUGUAUAACAUUACUGACACUUUUUACGAAGUGUCAGAAACGAAGUGUCAGUAAAAGUCAUUUUUGUAGUAGUGAUUCUUAGAAGAUAGUAUUUAUUUUCCAUUCAAACAUUUUCUCAUUUCGGCAAAGGUCACAAAAAAAAAUGCUUUUUUUAAUUUAAAUGUAAAUAUUUAAAAAUCAUAUAUAAGUUAUAAAAAAUAAAUAAUUAAUAUUUUUUUUAAAGUUAGACUUUAUAUGCUUAACAGUCAACCCUAAGGAACAUGAAUAAGAGCUACUAAAAAAAAAGAAUAAUUUUGAGCCUAAAUACAAUUAAUUGAGAGAUGAGGACGGAUAAGACAAAUUCAGAGAUAAAAAUUAAAAUAUCACCCUACUUAUUGCUGGCAGUUAUGAGCAUUAAAGCACAGAAGCACGUGUGUUGAAAAGUAUGGUGUUCGUGUGGAAUUUUCAGUUAACAGUCUACAAAGCAGUGGAAUUAAUCAAUCAUCGUGGAGUGCACGGUGGUUGGACAAUGAGAUGAAAUUGAAAAAUUAUCACGGAACGUGAAGGAAGGUUCAUGGCAUCGAUUUAUUGUACAGAGUCGCGCACAUUUGGUUCAAUAAUUGUUUUCAUCCGAAUCAAAAUCUCUUUCUAAUCAAUUCAACUGAUUUUGUUGAUUAUGGCUUCUUCUUAUCGAAACAACAAGAAGUAUGAUGUUUUUGUUAGUUUCAGAGGAGAGGACACCCGUGACAACUUUACCAGCCAUCUCUAUUCUGCUCUGUGUCGACAAAAUAUCCAAACUUUCAUUGAUGACCAACUUAACAGAGGAGAUGAAAUUUCGGAGUCACUUGUGAAUGCAAUUGAAGCAUCAGCCAUUUCAGUUAUCGUCUUCUCAGAAGGGUAUGCAUCUUCCAGAUGGUGUCUCGAUGAACUUGUCAAGAUCCUCGAGUGCAAGAAAGAGUAUGCACAGAUCGUGAUUCCGGUUUUCUAUCGGGUUGAUCCAUCAGACGUGAGAAACCAAACUGGGAGUUUUGGGGAUUCAUUUUCGAAGCUUCAAGAAAGAUUUAAGGAGAAUUCAAAGAAGCUGCUGACUUGGAGGAAUGCUUUGAAGGAGGCAGCCACUUUGUCUGGCUUUCAUUCUCGUAACAUCAGGUGAAAAGUUACUUUUAAUUUCGCAUACUAAUAUUCAACACUGUAAAUAAAAUUCACGCAGCACCCUUAGUUAAAUUUUCCAGAUGAUAAACUACACUUUUAAAUUUUUUCAUGCAUCAAAUUCUAGACUUCUUGAACUUCCCCACUUUUGAACUCCUAUAAAAGAAUUUUUGCAGAAUUAAUAAUAAAAGCUCCAGAGGUUUACAAUAUAUUUUAACAAAAUUAAUGGUGUUCUGUCGUUUUUUAAUCAAUUUCAAUCUCUUACUCAUAUACCACUAGGAAAAAAAAAAUCUCUUCCACAUAUAACAUAUUCCUGUAAUUAAAGAGUUAUUAAUUUAUAGGGAAAUUGGAAAUUUCCUUACUCAAAUCAAUAUAUACCACUUAUUUUGACUAUUUUUACAAUAUUUAAUAACUCUCCUGGUACCAUCACUUUACAAUAUUAUCCUUAUGAAAAAAAAUAAGUGGUAUAUAUUAAUUUCAAUAGGAAAACUAGCAAUCUCCUUUAUUUCACAUUUUAUGCAAAUCCCUUCUAUUUGAAGUUACUGCUGCUAAUUUUAUGUAUUUGGUAGGCCUGAAUCGGAACUUAUAAACGAAGUUGUUCAUCACAUUUUGAAGAGACUGCUGGAUCAAGUUUUUCGGCGGAAUGAUAACAAAAACCAGCUGGUUGGAGUAGAAUCAAGAGUUGAGGAAAUUGAGUCUCUACUAGGUGCUCAGUCGAAAGAUGUUUACGCUUUAGGGAUUUGGGGCAUUGGUGGUAUAGGCAAAACAACAAUCGCUAGAGCUAUUUUUUACAAAAUCUCUAGCGGUUUUGAAGGUUCUUGCUUCCUUGAAAAUGUUAGAGAAGAGUCACAAAAACCGGGAGGAUUAGCUUGCUUGCGACAAAAACUUCUUUCAAAUUUAUUGAAAGAUAAAAAUGUGAGUCUUGAUAUUGGUCUUAAUUUUAGAAGGCUCAGCCGCAUGAAGGUUCUGAUUGUUUUUGAUGAUGUGACUUGCUUCAGCCAAUUAGAAUCUAUAAUUGGAAGUCUUGAUUGUUUGACGCCUGUGAGUCGAAUCAUAAUAACCACCAGAAAUAAACAAGUGCUUAGAAAUUGGGGGGUGAGGAAAAUAUAUGAGAUGGAGGCAUUAGAAUAUCAUCACGCUCUUGAGCUUUUCAGUCGACAUGCCUUCAAACAAAACCAUCCUGACGUUGGUUACGAGAAAUUUUCAAGCAAGGUAAUGAAAUAUGCUCAAGGUGUUCCUUUAGCUAUUAAAGUUUUGGGUUGCUUUCUAUAUGAAAGAGAAAAGGAAGUCUGGGAAAGUGCAAUAAAUAAAUUGCAAAGAAUCCUCCAUCCAAGUAUCCUAGAGGUAUUAAAAAUAAGUUACGAUAGUUUGGAUGAUAAGGAGAAAAAUAUUUUCCUUGAUGUUGCUUGUUUCUUUCAAGGCGAGGAUGUAAAUCUAGUAAUGAAAUUCCAUAAUGCAAGCGGUUUCUACUCAGAAAUAGGAAUAAGUGUUCUUGUUGAUAAAUCUCUCAUUGCUAUUGAUUCAUACAACAAGAUAAGAAUGCAUGAUUUACUACAAGAGUUGGGUAGGGAAAUUGUUCGACAAGAAUCAAUUAAUCCUGGAAACCGCAGUAGGUUGUGGCAUCAUGAGGAUAUCUAUGAAGUUCUUACAUAUAACACGGUAAGCAGUUUGUUGUGCAUAAUUAUUUUGAAAUAUUCUAGCAUUUACAAACUUGAUAAGAAUAUAUUUAUAUCUGCUCGAACUGAUGAGUCUUAGAAUUAAUAGAAGAGCAACAAUGAUUGGAAAAAACCAUAGCGGUUAGAUGACGUAGCAAUAAAUUAUAAAUGCCAUGACAGCUUGCAUAAUCGUUUGCAAGCAUAAUUGAUAUGCCAAUUUGUAUAGUACACAGACGGAAUUUUUAUAUUAAGUAUUACUUGUGUUAUUAUGUUUCUUCGUGCAUUUGAAUUAAAGUUUAACUGCCUAGCAAUAACUAUAAGCUACCUCUAAUUGUGAAUUAGUGAGAAAAUUGCCCCAAAAAUUUGACUUGGUGGGGUUGAAGUGCAAUUCAUUGGUGGAAUACACAUAUCUUUCAUUUGAUUUUAACUUCAUUGCUUUUUUAUUUAUUUUUAGGGGACAGAAAAAAUUGAGGGCGUCUCUUUGGAUAUGUCAAAAGUAAAAGAGUUCCUUCUAAAUCCCAAUACUUUCACAAAGAUGCCUAAGUUGAGAUUUUUAAAGUUCUAUAGUUCAUCAUUCAAUGGAGAGAACAAAUGUAAGAUGUCCUAUUUGCAAGACCCUGGAUUUGCUGAAGUGAAAUAUCUUCACUGGCAUGGAUAUCCGUUGAAGUCAUUACCCUCAAACCUUAGUGCAGAGAAGCUUGUGUUACUUGAAGUGCCUGAUAAUGACAUUGAACAACUUUGGGAUUGUGUGAAGGUAUGCAUAUCUUAUCAUAUAUGUGCAAUCUUUCAAUAACAACCUUAAAUUAUUAUACGUGGUAACGAUUUUGUCUUGGCCUCUUUUUUGACCGAGCAGCAUUAUAGUAAGUUAAAUCAGAUAAUCCAUGCUGCCUGCCAUAAGCUAAUUGCCAAAAUUCCAAAUCCCACGUUGAUGGCCCGUUUGAACAAGCUAGUUAUCUUGAAUCUAAGAGGUAGCAAAAGCCUGAAAAGUCUUCCAUCUGGAAUAUUUAACUUGGAAUUUCUUACCAAGCUUGAUCUAUCGGGCUGCUCAAAACUGAAAAGGCUUCCAGAGAUCUCAUCGGGUAAUAUAAGCUGGUUAUUUUUAAGUGGAACUGCAAUUGAAAAACUACCCUCAUCAUUUGAGCUUCUACUUAGGCUUUCGUGGCUGGACCUUUCAGAUUGUAAAAGGCUUAAGAGUCUCCCAAGCAGCCUCUAUAGAUUGAAAUCUCUUGGAGUUCUUAGUCUCCUUGGUUGCUCAAAUCUUCAGAGAUUGCCCGAAUGUCUUGGCCAAUUAUCCUCGCCAAUAAUAUUUAAUCUAGCGAAAACCAAUAUUGAGAGAAUACCAGAAAGCAUUAUCCAACUUUUCGUGUCGGGAUACCUCCUCUUAGGUUAUGGUGAGAGGUUCCAAUCCGUACAAAAGCCUCCAUUCCUUGAACGAGGUUGCUUGGCAGUGCAACCACUUUUAGGUUUGUUCUCUAAGUUAUGAAUCUUAUAGGCAAUUUUUUUUUACCGGAGCAAUAAAUUUAAAUUGGAAGGUAAUUCUACUGCAGGAAUUGUUGAAGAUACCCUGAGAAUUCAGCAUACGAACCAUAUGCCAGCUGUACGUUGGCAAGAAAUAUGGCAAGAAGAUUGGCUAAAUGUGUGUCUUUAACUCUCUCUACUUACAAUGUCUACAAUCUUUUUUUUUUUGGGUUUAAAAUUAUGUUUUUUUGGUACAGAGAGGUUUUUCCAUGGGCAAAGGUCAUAUAGUACUACCGGGGAAUGAAAUUCCAAAGUGGUUUGAGUUUCAAAGUGUGGGAUCUUUUAUAACCUUGGAGAUGCCGGCAGAUUUCUUCAAUAAUAGCCGAGUGCAGGGCAUUGCAUUUACUGCUAUUUUAGCAGUUUCAGACCGUCAUGUAGAUUGUGGCAGAUGGUUUUCAUUUUCUUGUGAGCUCAAAGUGAAAACCACCAAAGAUUGUGGUACGCAUGACACACGAUUAUCUCAGAGAAGAGUUAAUUAUGUAGAAUCAGAUCACUUACAUUUGGGGCACUAUCUGUUCUGUGAAGAGGAUUUUAAUGGUUUUUGGAAAUGCAAUUGCAUUCUUGAGGCAGUCCAUUUAAUGUUUUUCCACCUUUGGAGUGCCAGUGCUGCGGGGUGAAAAAAUGUGGGAUCCAUUUACUUCACACCCCAGAUUCUACGAAUUCAAUGUAAGAUCCAAGCAAAUGUUUCAACUGUAAUGAAGAAGACUGAGAUAGGUGUCAUUUUCACUCAACUCACCUGAGUUGUGAAUCCAUUUGCUUAAACAUGUAUGCACUUUUUCAAGUAUCUCUACCAAUUCCAUAUUUGGAAUGGUGCAUUUGAUUCCAUAGUUGAUGUGGUAUCGUCUAUGGUUAGAAUUUAUAUUUACAAAAAUGACUUGUAAGGGAAGGAUUGAAGAUGCCCGUGAACUUAUAUUUCGAUUUAGAUUAUUGUAUCUUUUUCAUGUAUAAAAUUGGAUCCUAUCAUUCACAUAUCAUUGACAUGAGCAAUAUGGAUUACUAAAUCAUUAUUCUUUAUUAUUGUGCUGAAUUUGAUUUUUUAUUGAAUAAUUUGAUAUAUUUCUUGAAUCAAUUUGGAGCUUCUACAACUUGUCAGAGAUCAGUUUCUCCAACAUUCCUUUCCGCGCCAAAAGAUAACCAAGCGGUUGAAUAAGAAUUGAUAUAUACAACAUAAAUACAAGAGUUGUUUUGUCUUUUUACAAUAGGAAUAAUAUAUAAUGCUCGUUAACACUUGCUGAUGAGAAAGUAAAUUCCUCAGAAAUUAAAUGUUUCAGCCAACCAAGGAAGCAGCUUUUCAUGGACCAACUCAGGCCUNNNNNNNNNNNNNNNNNNNNNNNNNNNNNNNNNNNNNNNNNNNNNNNNNNNNNNNNNNNNNNNNNNNNNNNNNNNNNNNNNNNNNNNNNNNNNNNNNNNNNNNNNNNNNNNNNNNNNNNNNNNNNNNNNNNNNNNNNNNNNNNNNNNNNNNNNNNNNNNNNNNNNNNNNNNNNNNNNNNNNNNNNGUGGGCGUGGGUACUAAUCGAAACAAAUGCGUCAAGUGCCCCUUCCUCAUUGGCGGGCUCUCGUAUGAUCUGCAGUUUUGAGGUCGAUUCAUGAAUUAUGAGACGCCAUUUUUGUAACAGGUUAAAAUGGCAUAUAAGUGGAGAAUAUUAAUACCUCAACCAGUGUUUCAUCCACAGAUUCCUUAUUUGCAUAAAUGGACAGUAAAAUAUUCCUCAGUGUUUCCCUGAAGCACCAAUGUAUACACAUCAUAGAUUUUUUUAAUUUUGACUCUAGUGUUUUAGGAUAAUGAACAAUGGACUGAAUUAAGAGAAGAGAAAAUACCUUUGUUUCACACGCUCAAAUAUAGCGGAAGCAAUUGGCCUUUGCUUCAACAAAAAAUCAAUGAACCAAAGCAAUGGUAACAAUAGCUUGAUUCUCCAAUCAUCAACAAUUGCCUUGUUGUUCAUGCCACCAGCACAAUUCAACAGAACAAGCCCUCGAACAAGGGUUUGACUAGAUUCUUAUGGUAGAAAAUAUAGCAGGUUUAUCGUAAACCAUAGAUACCAAAAAGGAUAAUUAGGGACAAGUGUUUCUUUGCAAGCAAGUUGAAGAAUAUCUGAUGUCCAAGGGGAAGUUAAAAUAAAUAUACCUGAGGCAGCGAUAACACAAGCUAGGCUUCCAACAGAAUUACCUAUAAGCACAGUUGGCUUCUCAACAACUUCAUCCAAGAAAUCCAAUAUUAGCUGUAUCAGUGAAUCCCACUCAAGUUAGCAAGGAAAAUAACUAAAG